CUUCCUGGGCUCCAAUGGUGUGAAGCUGCCGGCGCAGCCCCCCUCUCCUUUCCAUGGUUCCCUCCUCCCCCUCGCGCCGCCUUCUCUACACCCCCUGCACGCACGGGGCAUCCUUGCCGCUCGGCGACCUGGCCGGUAAGGUGGGAGCGGCGGCGGCGCUGCCAUGGCGACCGAGCGUGCACAAAGGCAGGCACGCGGCGGGUUGGCGACCAAGGCGGGGCCAACAGGUGCCGGUGGCAAGGAGCCAUGGCGGGCCAGGUUUGUGCGAUGCUCCUCCUCCAUGCGACCUCCAUCGGUUUUCCCGCCACCGUCGGUCUCCUCCGUAUCAUAGCCGCCGGCAUGGGAGCACAAGAUGGCAUGUUCAUCCUCGAGAUUGAGCUGGCGCUGAUGCGCAGAUCCCUGUGACACUGGAUCUGGUGGUAAACAUGGUUGUGGUUGUUUUCCUUGCCUUGUCUUCUUCUGACUUCUUAACUUCCGUUUUAUGCAUAGUAGUGGCAAUGGAUGACGGCAAAAUUUCUGAGUGCUGUAGAGGAUUUAUCAUGCCAAAAUGGAUCUGAACGCUGCUGUGAGGCACUUCAAAAGCUUCGUAAACAUUAUGGCAUUGUUUUCAACAUUCAAGGAGACAAAACACUUAUUGAACCAGAGAUAAUAGAUGGAAUACGGAUCUUCAUGUGUGAUGCAAUCACUUUUUGAUAAUUGAUAUAGCUGUGCAAGAGGUGCGGUUUAUGGUAUGCAAAAAGCUGGAUAUGAUCUCAGAAAGGUAUGCCCAUUAUUACUGAUUCUGAAAAUAUAAUCCUUCCAGAUUAAUGGGGAAUUGGCACCAUUCCCAUCUGGAUGGCAGAGCAAUGAUGUGCAUCAACUACUUAUAGAGAGAUCUCAGGUUGUGACUUCCUUACUCUAGCAGCCAAAGAGUAUCAAGUUGUUUAUGAUUUUCCUACUGCUAUUUUUUACUUCUGCCAAUUGUUGUAUUUCUGAAGAAGAAAAUGCAUUUGGGCCCGCGUGUGCUGAUGUGCAGGUUGAUUCAAACAAGGUACAAGAGUUUGUGAAAGUUUUAUCAUGUAUGCGUGAUGAUUUUGAUCCAAGGCCUCAAUUUUGUACCAACAUAAUCUUGAAAAAUAAAUUAAAGGUGAAUUCUCUAUUUUAGGUUGGAUCUUAUGCUAACUCUGGCAAUUCCUCGCAAAAUUGGCAGAUUAUUGUCUUGCCAUAUCUUGUAAUCAAGGGAUGUCCAUGUUAUUACAUAUAGAGAAAAAAUGUUACUAUAUAUAGUGCCAUUAUCUUAAUUUUUUUAGCAAGCUAACUCCGAGGACACCUGAAUCAACCAGGUGAGAUAUUCUCAUAUGUGUUCUAAACUUCUAACAUCAAUCCUUUCUUUUCUUUCGUCUGCCUUGCUAUUUCCAUUUAUUUAUCUCCGCGUUUUCUACAAAAAUCAAAUCUCAUUGCAUUUUAUAUUAUCAGAUCUUUGAAUUUUGUGUGUUGCCCAUGGUUUUAACAGCCGUGAUGAAUUUCUAGAGCUAUGCAGCCUGUAUGAUGGAUUUGUUGUUCUCCUUCUAUUUUUGCAGUCAAAUUUAUGUACCGGACAACCAUCCAGCCAAUAACACGCAUGUCACCUAUAUGAAAAUCUGAGUAAAGCGUAUUCUUUCACUUUAUCUACAAUAAUCUCCUUAUUGUGGUCUCCUCUCACUCUCUCAGGUAGUACAAGGAUACUUUAUAUGGUAGCAUCAUGUGUAUUUUUCUUGUGCAUAUCAUUCUAUGUUCCACUGCUAAUUCAUAUUCUUAUUAUAAUCAUCUGUAACAUUCUUCCUUUUUUAUAAUUGAUUUGGUUUUCCACAUUCUUUGCUGCAAUUUUUCAUAGCUACACAUGCAGGUACCAGGAAAAGCUUUUAAUAUGCGCAUGAACCUCAUUUUUAUCCAUGCUCCCUUCUAAGAAGUCCCCAGUUUCAGAACAAAGUGAAGGAAUGAAAAAGAAGCAUGGCCGCUGGCUGUCGUAACGCUCAGGGAGUUGUGGUUCGUAACAUCGCAAGAAAGGGUCGUAUGUUACUUUAACUGGGUGUAAAUAUUGUAAUUCUACAACAAGGUAAUGUUAGCUCGUAUAACAAUUAACUGGCGGUCUUGACCUCAUGCCUUCCCCGUGGCCUCUGCGCUAGAUUGGUGCCGAUCAAUUGACCUGUGGCAUCCAUUAUGCUGCAAGGAAAUCCCGCUCUCAUGACCCGUCUAAUCUUGUGUUAUCACUCUGUGCCACAUUGCCCUCUGUGAAAAGGCUAGAUGAAUAAGAUCGACUGGUGUCUCUAUUAUUCCUUGUGAUAUGAGACAAUAUGCUCAAUUAUAGAGAUAAGGAGAUUGUGAUAGCUGCAGCUGAUGAGGAAUAAAGGGAUACUCAAAAACUUGUGAAUUGAAUUACUUUAGUCCUUGGUACACUGCGACUUGGAUAUCCAAUCAACAGGUCUAUGCAGAAUCCUGUUAGAGAAUUCCACCGAUACUACCUCUUUACGGACAGAGGAAAUGUAUCCUAACGGGUACAUUCAUAGAGUUCAGGGCUGGAAAUUUGUAAUGAUCAGUGUGUUCACCUAUACGGAGGAAUUGUGGUCAAGAAGUAUGUGACUUUUUUAGAAGCAUGCAAAGGUACAUUAGCUUUCGGCCUAAAAGUGUGUAUGUGCUUCAUACAAAGUUUGGCUACUUGAACCUCGCAUUUUCUAUUGGAGGGAUGUAUUGUCUAAAAAUAUUUAUUUUGGUAUUUACUUCUAAAUCACUGCAUUCAUCAGUGAGCAAGCUUUUGGACUCACCACCAAGUGCAAUGUCCAGUGACAAGGUCCAAUAUCUGUGCUAUAGGCGUGACUCACUAGAACAACAGAUGUUAUAUGUACUGCGUACACAAUUAUUACUGAAGUUGUCAGUCCAGACAACACAACACAACACUACUAUAGUCAUUGAUAUCCGGUGAUAAACCUAGAUGGUAGCCAUCCGUGUCAAACAUACAAAAUAGGCUUAGCAAAUCUUCAACAAAUAUUGGAGUAUAUAACUCAGUUGGAAGAGCUCCGCUUUUGAUUUUGGGUGAGGAGAGGCCAGUAUAUAACGCAAAGGUCAACUAUAACAGCAGUGACCGGAUGGCAUCAGUGUGGUUUCUUUUCCCUGUUCUUGCAACAUCAAUCAUCUGAUCCAAAACCAACAAGUAUGAUCUAGGAGUACUUACAACAGGGCAUCUGCAUAAUUUGUGGCAACCAAGCCAAUAGCUCUUUGAGAGUACAUUAAUCAGAUGGCCAAGAAUUUGAUCCUCCUUAUUACUGUCCGACUGACCUCUAAAUUUGUUAUCGAGAAGAGAACACAGCUGCAGCAAAAGGCCAUGAAGUGAAUUGAAUGUAGAAGACUUUGCGUCUUAGCUGAUACAUGAGGAUCAGAGCACUGAGAACUGUGAGCUGCCACUUCACAGCUUCCGCAAGGUUACUUGCACUGAUAAAUGGAGAUUGCGCCAGUCAUCUAUCAAGAUUCUAAUCUGCCUACAUUUUCUGGUCUUCUGUUGUAAAGAUUGAGCCAAUAUGCCAUCUUCAAGUCAGGAUCAUUCUUGAGAGUAAUUAUGGGAAGUUGCAAAAAGUCGGUUGGGAAGAGUAGCCGAAGUGAUAAAGGGUGGGACUUACUGCAGCGGAAAAAUAUGUUUAUCUCUAUUUUUGGAUAAGAGUGGACAUGGUUAGUAUUUCAGAUAUACAUUCACUAAAGUUAGAUGGAAAUUCCAGAUCAAACAUGGGUGAAGGAUCCUAAUGUCAUUGCUCUUGUGGAUUUCAUUAACUCAAUUUUACCAACAUCAAAAUUAUUCCCUUUAUAGAUGGUCCGACUUACUUU